rnacentral:tRNA from 1 species
UCCCCGAUAGCUCAGCGGUAGAGCAACCGGCUGUUAACCGGUGGGUCGCAGGUUCGAAUCCUGCUCGGGGAGCCA